GGCCUCGCAGUUAACACGUGGUGAGAAUGGAAUGACUCAGUGCUCUGUUUCCCACCCUGGGUGUCCUCACCCAGGAGCUCUCUUCAUUUGGCCAGGAAUGAACCUCAGGAACAUGGAACAGAGUGAUCCCUACAAGGAUCAGUAUCACUUAUACUGUUGCACAGGCGAGGAAGAUGAUGUUCAUAGAGAAGGUCCCAUGAAGCCAGCGUCCCCAAGGGAAAUGGCCCUCUCCCAGCUGUAGUCCAGCUCUCCGCUUUUGAAGCCGCCUCUAAACCUGUUUGCAUUCAGAGCUCCGGCAAGAUGCGUGCCCACGCCGCAGGCUGGCCCAGGGAGGCCGCUCAAGCUGAGACCGUGGCUGGCUUCCCAGGGGCACAACCGCGACAGUUAAUUACAUCAGCCCAAUUAGCAGCGGCACCCACCUUGUGCAAGCAAGGCUCACCU